rnacentral:lncRNA from 1 species
UUCAAAUGUACUUUCUGAGAGAGGAAGAGGAGAGAUUCCUCCCAUUUGUGCAUAUGGGUCUGUCUGUCCAGCCAUGUCUUCCAGCUUCAUAAGGAUGAGUUGCUGGGAGCUGUUGGGUAACACAUGACCUAUGCCCUUGGCCACAAUUAACUGGAUCAGGAGCAGUUAAUAAAUUGGACACCUAACCUAAGCCUGAAAUUUUGAACCAUGUCUCUGAGUUAGCUGGGCCUUUCCUAAUGGUUCCCAGGAGAGAGAACAUAUAAACUGUAGUUAGCCUAGGGCACAGACAGGCAGAAAGGGCUGAGCUGCAGGGAAACAGGAAUGAAGAAGACCUGGAGCUGAAGCAGAGGAGACCAUGCAGCCCCAGAGAGGGGACUGAGAAGAUGUCAUAUCCUCCGACUGGAGCCUGACUGUUCUACUGUCUUGGGACUGUAAGAAACUCCUUUGCUUUUACAAUAUAAGUGAUUUCUCUCUCCUCCCUCCCCUCUCUCUUUCUGUCUCUUCUUCCUUGCCCAAUCCAGCUCAACUAGGUUUCUGAUACUGUGAUAAAAUUACCUUCUCAAUCAUGAGUCUCCACAUGUAAAAUUCUAGGGUAUGGAGAACCUUCUUGAAAACUGUAAGUCUAAGAGUUAUAAAGGAAUGCUGAGUCACUGUGAUGAAAUAGAACAAGAAGGUGUGGGGAAUCGGUCAAAGAAAGUGGAGCAAAGCAGAGGCAGAUUAAGCUCAAGGAAAGUCACCUUGGCCCUGGCUCUGAGGAAGGAAGAAAGCUCAGCUGGGUCAGGGGGACUGGGAGAUGCUGGCAUGUGCAUGGCUAGUUCCCCCAAAAUGCUCAUGCAUGAUCAGAAAGAUCUCAAGUGUAUUGGAGCAGGGGGACUUCUGCCAAGGCUCGCUGAGAAAUUUAAACAAAGGAUCUCUCAGCCUUUUUCUUCUGAGUCCCCCAGGUCACUGUGCUCCUCCAGUUUUAGAAAGGGUAUCAACUUCGGUGUGAAAUUAAAAAGACCCUGAGCAUUUGUAGGAGACCCCACGGGGAAAAGAGAAUGAUGACACCCAUCUUGCUGGCGUUCACCCACUCUGAGAGAAC